UACGUAGGGUGCAAGCGUUAAUCGGAAUUACUGGGCGUAAAGCGUGCGCAGGCGGUUAUGUAAGACAGUUGUGAAAUCCCCGGGCUCAACCUGGGAACUGCAUCUGUGACUGCAUAGCUAGAGUACGGUAGAGGGGGAUGGAAUUCCGCGUGUAGCAGUGAAAUGCGUAGAUAUGCGGAGGAACACCGAUGGCGAAGGCAAUCCCCUGGACCUGUACUGACGCUCAUGCACGAAAGCGUGGGGAGCAACAGGAU
rnacentral:rRNA from 1 species